AGUGAGGAGGAUUUGAUGGCUCAUUGUGUCAAAAACCACACUCAGGUCGAGGAGAAUCAGGAUGUUGAGGGCAUCAGCAGAGGUGGUCAUUGACAACUUUGAGGAUUGCAGUUUCAGUACUGUGGAGGGAGUGGAAACCAGAAUGGGAGGGCUCUGAAUAGGUUGAUGAUUAGCAGGUGGGUUUGUAAUUAAGAGGCAACAGUCCGUUCCAGAGUCUUGGCAAGGAAGGAAAGGUUGGUAAUGGGGUGGAAGUUAUUGAGGAUGGUAGGGUCUAGCCCUAGCAUUUUUAAGAUGGUGGUGAUAGCAGCUGUUUUGCAGUUGGAGGGGACAGUUCCGUGGGCAAGGGAGAGAUUAGAGAUGUGUACGAUAUAUGGACAGCGAGCAGACUUUGAUGAGAAAAGUGGAGAGGAUCCAGGGAGCAAGUUGUAGUCUUGGAUGACAUGAGUUUUGAGAUGGGGCGAAUUCUGAGACGGGUUUCAGGGGUGACGGUUGGGAGGUUAACAGGGGAAGGUGCGGCUGAGGGAGAAUUAUCAGUCAGUGAUGAGUUUAUUUGGGUGAACUUGUCCUUGAAAAACUGAAGGAAGGAGUUGCAGAGUUCAGUGGAGGAAGUAGAGAAGGUGUCAUCAUGGGCUGAAGUGGUUUGCUGACAGUCGAGAACAGUCUGGGAGUUCUUAUUGAAUGAUGUUUGAGAAGUAGGCAGACCUGCCAGCAUCUGUUGGUGGAGAGGUAGUUUGUAGGCCUCAGUGUGGGCAGUGAGCCCAGACUUCCAGCUCAGGCGCUCCAGUUGGCAGCCAGCUUGCUUCAGGGCGCAGAGCUCAGGGCGGAAACCUAAUGAGAUUGACGGCGGGGGUCCAUGCGAUGGCAGAAGAGUGGAGGCUAGGUCGGGAAGCGCUUCGGUGGAGAGGCCCUAUAACUAACCAGAGAAAAAGCAGGUGGAGAAGAGUGGAGCCAGGUAGGGAAGCGCUUCAGUGGAGAGGCCCUAUAACUAGCCAGAGAAAAAAACAGGUAGCGGCAGGAUCUACUCCGGGCCGCAGGAGAGUCAAAGAGGGAAACCCGAUAGGUAUUCCAGAGGGAGAUAUGGCGAGGGACAUCCAAAAUAGAUACAUUCCCUAGGCAAUAAUCCAAAAGGUGGGUCAGACAACCAGGAGGCCUGCGAUCAGAGGAAGAAUAUUGGCAGAUGAUCACAGCAGCGCAAUCCAGACUAUUUUUUUUUACAUGAUUUGUCAGUACAUUAUGUACAGUGCCUUGCGAAAGUAUUCGGCCCCCUUGAACUUUGUGAC
ensembl:lncRNA